rnacentral:rRNA from 1 species
UACGUAGGGUGCGAGCGUUAAUCGGAAUUACUGGGCGUAAAGCGUGCGUAGGCGGUGGUCCAAGUCUGGUGUGAAAUCUCCCGGCUUAACUGGGAGGGUGCGCCGGAAACUGGGCCGCUGGAGUACGGGAGAGGCAAGCGGAAUUCCAGGUGUAGCGGUGAAAUGCGUAGAUAUCUGGAGGAACACCGGUGGCGAAGGCGGCAUCCUGGACCGGCAUUGACGCUGAGGAGCGAAAGCCAGGGGAGCAAACGGG